ensembl:lncRNA
UCCCUCGUGUGGUGUGUGGGCUCCCUGUGUCCACUCUCACCUCACGGCCUCAGGGCGCUCAAGCGCUCCCGAGCUCGUGCCCCUAAAAAACGCGGCGCUGCCUGGGAUGCAGGAGAGCUCCUCCAGCAGUGGCUUCUGCUCUGUGCCUGGAAGGGGAGAGCAGAGCACAGGCACUGUGCUGUGCUCAAGGUCACCUGGGCAUGCUUCCCCCUUACCAAGGGCGUCCUGAUACCCAGCAGUAGGCAGCAUGUCUAUUUUUGUUACUUACAGAGUGCUGUGCACAUACUGAGUGACCGACAGGCUUGUAAAGAAGUCUGGAUUCCUAUCACAGUUCGCAAUCCCAUGACCCAUCCCAUGUGCAAGACAAGCACAGCUAUGCUGCCUACUUCUUAUGGACCUGCUUAUGUGGCAAUUAUUUAUGGGGUAGAAGAAAGCGAAAAGGAAUUGUUCAUUACUGCUUUACAAAUGGAGAAAAGGAAGUGCAUUAAAAUUUGUGCAAGGUUUGGAAUCUGCUGGAAAAGUCUGCUUCAGCUUGCCAUUCUGGGUAUCAUAUGCUGGGACCUCGAGCAGUGGCCCUGCUCAUGGAAGGUUGAGAUGUCUGCUGUGCAACCAGCAGUGGUUCAGGAGAACACAGUUUUAUUGCAAAGUGACUGACCUGCAGGCAGCCCUCUCCCCUGGCUGUAGGAGUUUCAGUUCUGCCCAGCCCCAGCUCGAGCUCCUGAUGGGUCAUGGCCUGGACUCCCCUGUUCCUGAGAAGAUGCAGCCCAGCACAGGACUCAGGGGCUGCCCAGCCAGGCUGGGUCCAGUCCAGACCCACCAGCUGCUGCUGCUUGAACCAUGGUGCUCCUCACACCUGCAGGGAGGCUGUGUUCCUCACCCCAGCUUGAGAGCGCACAAUGAGAGGCAGCAGCAAAGAGAAUGAGGAAAGAGGCUGUGCUGUCUUCUUCUCCAGAGUUACUAAAACCUGCCUGGAUGCAAUCCUGCUUCAGGUGCUUGAGCAGGGACUGUAACCAGAUGAUCUCCAGAAUUCUAUUUCAACUCCAGCCAUUCUGUGAUUCUGUGAUACUCUGAGUUAUGACUCCUCUAGAAAUGCCUAUUAUGAGCACAGAAAAACAUUUUGUAUGCACUUUGGGUUUGGUUCCUUCUUCCUUUUUUUUUUUUUUUUCAGUAAGUUGAAAAACUAGAAUGGCAUACAUAAAUUGAACCUUUGUAAAGACUGCGUAAAAACAAGAUAGAGAAAGAAUAUCUAGCAAUGCAAGAAUGCUGGGGGUUUAUAAAAAAUCAGGUUACAACUUGUCCUAGGUCUCAAACACAAAGAACUAUUUUUUAUCAAAGUCAUUUAAAUUUGCCAAGCAAAGUAAAUUUAUGAAUCCGUGAAAAUUGUGUUGCCAAAAUCACACCAAUCAACAUGAGAUCAUCCAGUGCUGACCUCUCUAAUGUGGUAGUGUAACUACAAAGGAUUGCUCCAACUGCAAGAGUCAGUAGAAUGAAUAUAUAUAUAUGUAGAAUGAAUAUAAUUUGUAUAUAUAUAUAUAUAAAACAUACACAAAAGAGAAUCCUCCAUAUAUAUGUAGAAUGAAUAUAAUUUGUAUAUAUAUAUAUAUAAAACAUACACAAAAGAGAAUCCUCCAGCUCAGGAGACACAAUGGGAACAAUAACACCAGUACAGCAAAAUUUGGAGUUAGUCCUAGUCAAUUAAUUGAUGCAUGCAUUUGCAAACUAUAUUCACCAGUUAUAUAUCUUGCACCAUGUUUAAUAAUCCUUAAUCUGUUGAUAAACUUUAGUUUUGUCUUUCUUUGUCUAUAUGCAUGUGGUAUUUUCUAAUAUAUACUGUGUGAAAAUGAUAGAAAACACAGCCAAACUUCAUUAAUAUGGAAAAAUGAUGCUAAAACAUUCUUAGUAGUUAGCUUGCAAAUAUACUAAAUAAAAAUUUAUAGAUGUUGUAAAGCUAAUAUGAC